GACGAACGCUGGCGGCGUGCUUAACACAUGCAAGUCAAGGGGGCCCGCAAGGGCAACCGGCGAACGGGUGCGUAACACGUGAGCAACCUGCCUAAAUGUGGGGGAUAGCCGGCCCAACGGCCGGGUAAUACCGCAUACGCUCACCGGGCGGCAUCUCCUGGUGAGGAAACCUACGGCAUUUAGAGGGGCUCGCGGCCUAUCAGCUAGUUGGGUGGGGUAAUGGCCUACCAAGGCGACGACGGGUAGCUGGUCUGAGAGGAUGGCCAGCCACAUUGGGACUGAGAUACGGCCCAGACUCCUACGGGAGGCAGCAGGUGGGGAAUAUUGCGCAAUGGGCGAAAGCCUGACGCAGCGACGCCGCGGUGGGGGAUGAAGC
rnacentral:rRNA from 1 species